rnacentral:rRNA from 1 species
UACGAAGGGGGGCUAGCGUUGCUCGGAAUCACUGGGCGUAAAGGGUGCGUAGGCGGGUCUUUAAGUCAGGGGUGAAAUCCUGGAGCUCAACUCCAGAACUGCCUUUGAUACUGAGGAUCUUGAGUUCGGGAGAGGUGAGUGGAACUGCGAGUGUAGAGGUGAAAUUCGUAGAUAUUCGCAAGAACACCAGUGGCGAAGGCGGCUCACCUGGCC